rnacentral:rRNA from 1 species
AACGAACGCUGGCGGCAUACCUAACACAUGCAAGUCGAACGAAGGCUUCGGCCUUAGUGGCGCACGGGUGAGUAACGCGUGGGAACCUGCCUCUUGGUACGGAAUAACGUCGGGAAACUGACGCUAAUACCGUAUAUGUCUGCGGAUGAAAGAUUUAUCGCCGAGAGAGGGGCCCGCGUCUGAUUAGCUAGUUGGUGAGGUAAUGGCUCACCAAGGCGACGAUCAGUAGCUGGUCUGAGAGGAUGAUCAGCCACACUGGGACUGAGACACGGCCCAGACUCCUACGGGAGGCAGCAGUGGGGAAUAUUGGACAAUGGGGGCAACCCUGAUCCAGCAAUGCCGCGUGAGUGAUGAAGGCCUUCGGGUUGUAAAGCUCUUUUGCCAGGGACGAUGAUGACGGUACCUGGAGAAUAAGCCCCGGCUAACUUCGUGCCAGCCGCCGCUGUAAAAC